AGGGUUUGAUCCUGGCUCAGAAUGAACGUUGGCGGCGUGGAUUAGGCAUGCAAGUCGAACGCGAAAGUUCCUUCGGGGGCGAGUAGAGUGGCGAAAGGGUGAGUAAUCCAUGAACAAUCUGCCCUCCGCAAGGGGAUAGCCACUGGAAACGGUGGAUAAUACCGUAUACGUCCAAACGGUCGCAUGGCUGUUUGGAGAAAGGUGCUUCGGUGCCGGCGGUGGAGGGGUUCAUGGCCUAUCAGCUUGUUGGUGAGGUAACGGCUCACCAAGGCGAUGACGGGUAGCCGGACUGAGAGGUUGACCGGCCACACCGGGACUGAGACACUGCCCGGACACCUACGGGUGGCUGCAGUCGAGAAUCUUCGGCAAUGCGCGAAGCGUGACCGAGCGACGCCGCGUGCGGGAAGAAGGCCUUCGGGUUGUAAACCGCUUUUGGGGGGUAUGAAUAAGGUCGGGUAACGCCGGCUGAUGACGUCAACCCCUGAAUAAGCCCCGGCUAAGUUCGUGCCAGGAGCCGCGGUAAUACGAACGGGGCAAACGUUAUUCGGAAUCACUGGGCAUAAAGGGCGCGUAGGCGGACUCUUAAGUCGGGGUUGAAAGCCCUCGGCUCAACCGAGGAAUUGGUCCCGAUACUGGGAGUCUUGAGGAUGGCAGGGGGGUGUGGAACGUCUGGUGGAGCGGUGAAAUGCGUAGAUAUCAGACGGAACACCGGUGGCGAAGGCGACACCCUGGGCCAUAUCUGACGCUGAGGCGCGAAAGCGUGGGGAGCAAACAGGAUUAGAUACCCUGGUAGUCCACGCUGUAAACGAUGAGCACUAGGAGGGGGGGUUCUACCGGCCUCCUCUUCGUAGCUAAUGCAAUAAGUGCUCCGCCUGGGGAGUAUACUCGCAAGGGUGAAACUCAAAGGAAUUGACGGGGGCUCACACAAGCGGUGGAGCAUGUGGUUUAAUUCGAAUCAACGCGCAGAACCUUACCAGGCCUUGACAUAUGCGAAAGCGCCCGGAAGUAGCUGCCCGAAAGGGUUAGCAAACGGUAACCAGUCCGGAACCGGGUACAGGUGUUGCAUGGCUGUCGUCAGCUCGUGUCGUGAGAUGUCGGGUUAAGUCCCAUAACGAGCGAAACCCCUAUCGUUAGUUGCCAGCGGGUAAUGCCGGGGACUCUAGCGAGACUGCCUCGAAAGACGGAGGAAGGUGGGGAUGACGUCAAGUCAUCAUGGCCCUUAUGGCCUGGGCUACACACGUGCUACAAUGGGGCGGACAACGGGUCGCAAACCCGCGAGGGCAAGCUAAUCCCAUAAACCGUCCCCCAGUUCGGAUUGCAGGCUGCAAUUCGCCUGCAUGAAGCCGGAAUCGCUAGUAAUCCCGGGUCAGCCUUACCGGGGUGAAUAUGUUCCUGAGCCUUGUACACACCGCCCGUCAAGCCACGAAAGCUGGCAGCGCCUGAAGUCGUGAGUCUAACCCUUCGGGGAGGGCCACGCCCACGGUGAGGCCGGUGAUUGGGACUAAGUCGUAACAAGGUA
rnacentral:rRNA from 1 species